GAUGAACGCUGGCGGCGUGCCUAAUACAUGCAAGUCGAACGCAUAGCGAAAGGUGCUUGCACCUUUCAAGUGAGUGGCGAACGGGUGAGUAACACGUGGACAACCUGCCUCAAGGCUGGGGAUAACAUUUGGAAACAGAUGCUAAUACCGAAUAAAACUUAGUGUCGCAUGACACAAAGUUAAAAGGCGCUUCGGCGUCACCUAGAGAUGGAUCCGCGGUGCAUUAGUUAGUUGGUGGGGUAAAGGCCUACCAAGACAAUGAUGCAUAGCCGAGUUGAGAGACUGAUCGGCCACAUUGGGACUGAGACACGGCCCAAACUCCUACGGGAGGCUGCAGUAGGGAAUCUUCCACAAUGGGCGAAAGCCUGAUGGAGCAACGCCGCGUGUGUGAUGAAGGCUUUCGGGUCGUAAAGCACUGUUGUAUGGGAAGAACAGCUAGAAUAGGAAAUGAUUUUAGUUUGACGGUACCAUACCAGAAAGGCACGGCUAAAUACGUG
rnacentral:rRNA from 1 species